rnacentral:rRNA from 1 species
GGCCCAGACUCCUACGGGAGGCAGCAGUGGGGAAUAUUGCACAAUGGGGGGAACCCUGAUGCAGCGACGCCGCGUGGGUGAAGGAGUACCUCGGUGCGUAAAGCCCUAUCGGCAGGGAAGAAACAGACGGUACCUGACUAAGAAGCCCCGGCUAACUACGUGCCAGCAGCCGCGGUAAUACGUAGGGGGCAAGCGUUAUCCGGAUUCACUGGGUGUAAAGGGAGCGUAGACGGCGACGCAAGUCUGGAGUGAAAGCCCGGGGCCCAACCCCGGGACUGCUCUGGAAACUGCGUCGCUGGAGUACGGGAGGGGCAGGCGGAAUUCCUGGUGUAGCGGUGAAAUGCGUAGAUAUCAGGAGGAACACCGGCGGCGAAGGCGGCCUGCUGGACCGUGACUGACGUUGAGGCUCGAGAGCGUGGGGAGCAAACAGGAUUAGAUACCCGAGUA